CAGCAGGGGACAGUCCUGCCGGGGUAGAAGUUAGAGCCCCGUAGUUCGGAUAGCGGAGGAGAUGGAAACAGAACCUACGAAGCCUAUCGACAAAAUCUCCCUGGGGGAGAUUAACGAGUCACCGGGCCGUAAUAACA
rnacentral:ncRNA from 1 species